rnacentral:rRNA from 1 species
CACGUAGGGCGCAAGCGUUGUCCGGAAUGACUGGGCGUAAAGGGCGCGUAGGCGGUUUGUACAGUCAGGUGUGAAAUUCCCGGGCUCAACCUGGGGGCUGCACUUGAUACGUAGGAACUGGAGUGGGGAAGAGGGUCGUGGAAUUCCCAGUGUAGAGGUGAAAUUCGUAGAUAUUGGGAAGAACACCGGUGGCGAAGGCGGCGACCUGGUCCGAUACUGACGCUGAGGCGCGAAAGCGUGGGGAGCAAACAGG